GGGGGCAAAAUAGCAUUAAAAAUACAGCCAGUAGUAAUUGGAUUAUAGUUGUUGAUUGCUUUCAAAGUACUUAACACAGUGUAUUAAUCCCAAAGAUGAAUUACAUCCAGUGAAUUCUGAAGUGUCUCACUGAUAGAACAUGGCCUGUAAGAAGAAAGAACACCCUUGCAAACCUGAUCAAAUCUCCCAUGUGGUCCUGACAUCGCUGGUGGAUGGAGGGACUAACAUCCAGGAGGGACAAACUCGACACAUCUGCUGGCUGGUUUGGGUCCACAGUGUGACCUCUGAGUCACUGAGAGAAAAUCGUUCUGGAAAGUCGUGAGCAUCAAGUCUGAGGAGAGAUGAUGAGCCAGGGGCUGUGGUGGAAUAAAAACCUGGGAGAUUUGCUCCCUCGUCACAUCCUGAGCUCAAACCAGGUGGCGUCUUAGGGGCUGACCGUCGGUGGCGUUGAACAAAAGUGUCACGGUCACAGGAGGAAGCUUUUCUCCCAGGAGGGGACUGUGGGGAGUUUGUGCCCAUGAAGUCUUGGCUGGGGGACCUUCCUAAAGUCUACUUGAGUCCUCUCUACCAGCCCGUGGCUUUAAUUGCAGAGGCACCUGGAGACAGACGGGCGUGCAGGUCCCAGGCCUGGGGCUCUGGCCUCUUAGCGGGGUGACAUCUGGAGAGUGUCUGGGAUGAAGUCUCCUUUUUCUUCAUCUUUGCAACUGGAAGAAAGGUCCUGUCCUGACUGCUUCCAGGUGUGUUGGGGAAUUAUUCAAACUGAUGGACACCAGGACUCUUUGCAGCGUGUGUAGCUGCUCUACACGUGCAAAUUAUUCCAGAACCCUAACGUUUCUAGUGCAUGAUGUGUCUUCAUGCCUGUUUGUAGUCCAUACUGCAAAGGCAGUUUCCUCUGUUGCCAAGGCUGCUACAUUACUAUUUACUAAACUCUGCACUUUUUUCCGAUUUCACUAGUUUUCCUUAAUGUCCUUUUUCUGUUCUACAAUCCCAUUCAGGACACCAAAUUAUAUACACGAUGCGGUUCAAACUUUUUUGAAGGUGACCGAACAUUAGAAAUACAUUUUAUAUCACAAGACAAUGUACACCUUUAUGUAAUCUGAAACAGAUUAGGAACACGCUACUUAUUUUUGCCAACUGGAAUAUACUCUGGUAUUUUCUAUUCUAUUCUGUUCCAUUCCAUUCCACUGUAUUCCAAUUCAUCCCAUCCCAUCUCAUUCUAUUCCAACAUAAAAAUACUCUUCAAGAUGUGAUCAACUGAACAACUCACAGAUGGAUCCGUUAGUACCUGCAGUUUAAAAACUCA